CGCGGUUAUACAGAWAAUAWAAGUUAAUAUUUUUAACAAUAAUUUAUUAUGUAUUAUUUUUAUUUUAGAAUUUAUUAAGUGAAAUUUUAAAUUUUAGUUAAAAGUAAUUAAUUUAAAUGAAGUUAAGAAAUUUUUAAUUAAACUAGGAUUAGAUACCCUAUUAUUUAAAAAGUAAUGAUAAAUGUUAAAUUAUUAAUAGUUAAAUUCUUUAAAAUUAAAGAUUUUGGCGGUAUUUUAGUCUUUUCAGAGGAACCUGUUUUAUAAAUGAUAAUCCACGAUUAAAUAUACUUUAUUUUUUAGUUUGUAUAUCGUCGUGAUUAAGUAUUUUUUUAGAAUUAUUAAUAUUUAAGAUUUUUAAUUAAAAAUUAAUCAGAUCAAGGUGCAGUUUAUAGUAAAGAUUAAAUGGGUUACAAUAAAUAUAUUUAAGGAUAAAAAUUUUAUAAGUUUUUUGAAUGUGGAUUUGGUAGUAAUUUUUUUUAAUUUAAUUAUAUGAUUUAGCUCUAAAA
rnacentral:rRNA from 1 species